UUCAGAAUCUUCUUGGAUCGGUUGUCAGUACUAUGGUAUGCAGUCUCGGCGUCCAAGUGUGUGUGCCAUUAUGUACAGUUGUCCAAGCUUUGAUGGAACUGAGCAUUGAUGUGAACAUUAUCAAUACCAUCAUCAUUAGUGUAACAGGAGAACCACCAGCAUGCAAUAUCUAAAUACAAAGGAUUUCUAUAUUGCUCAUGGAUUUAGAACCAUAUGCACACAUGUUCCAUUAAAUGUUUUGUUAGACAAAUAAAUCUUGUUAUGAAAAUUACGAAUUGAAUUUUGUA